rnacentral:rRNA from 1 species
CCUACGGGGGGCAGCAGUGGGGAAUAUUGCACAAUGGGGGAAACCCUGAUGCAGCGACGCCGCGUGAGUGAGGACGUAUCUAGGUAUGUUAAGCUCUAUCAGCAGGGAAGAAAAUGACGGUACCUGACUCAGAAGCCCCGGCUAACUACGUGCAAGCAGCCGCGGUAAUACGUAGGGGGCCAGCGUUAUCCGGAUGUACUGGGUGUAAAGGGAGCGUAGACGGCUAAUCAAGUCAGAAGUGAAAACCCAGGGCUCAACUUUGGGACUGCUUUUGAAACUGAGUAGCUAGAGUGCAGGAGAGGUAGGCGGAAUUCGUAGUGUAGCGGUGAAAUGCGUAGAUAUUAGGAGGAACACCAGUGGCGAAGGCGGCUUACUGGACUGUAACUGACGUUGAGGCUCGAAAGCGUGGGGAUCAAACAGGAUUAGAUACCCCUGUAGUC